rnacentral:lncRNA from 1 species
UAAAAUCUAUGUCCGGGUGUGAAGGAUGGACACGGGAGCAGGACAAGGCGUUUUAGAAUUACCUAUAUAUGAUGGAUCUUACCAAGGGCAAGGCCUUGUGGAACAAGAUAGCCAGCAUCGUUCAGGGGGAGAAGGGGUCUGGAUCUGGGUCCAUGCCUAGAAGGUAUACUAGGGAGCAGGACAAGGCGUUCGAGAAUGUGUUGGCGGGUGGUUGAUCUAGAGGAGGGUGAAGCCGUUUCGGACAAGAUAACUGAUGUGGUUGAGGGGAAGUCAACCGAGGACGCCAAGCGUCACUAUAAGCUAUUGUUGGAGGAUGUGGACGACAUCGUGGUAGGCCUAGUAUUCCUGCCUAUAUAGACCAAUGGUGGCAGUCCCGAGAAGGGAAGCUCGAGUGGGAAGAAGGACGGUGGCAGGGUACGAGGAUGACGGGGAAGACAUGGACAAAAGGCCUAAUCAAAGUUUGUCGAGCGGGAACCCCGAAAGGGAUCCACUGGACUGAAGAUGAGCAUUGGUGUGUUCCUCCAACCUUCGUUUCCAUUCACCAGAAAGAUGUGUUGCUGCUCUAGAUGCUUCUGAUGAUUAAUCUGUACAAGCAUCAUGUAGUAUUAGGGUUGAUAUUGCAAAUCUGAUGCUCACGUGAUUUACUACUCUCAUGGCACAGGGGUAUGAAUAUUGCAAAUCUGUAGAGCAUCCUUGUGUGUGUAUAGGGUAACUUCCUACAUCUUCAGGAUCCAUCUUGAACCAUUCCAGUCCAAGAAACUACCGAAUGCCAACUUUUACAAUAAUAGUAAAAAGUGUAAUGCACAGUUCUCUAGAAAUAUGUAGCUAGUGGGAGACUGCAAGUGGCACUUUUCAUUGAAUGCAAAUUCCAUUAUUUUAACAACUAGAUAUGAAACCGUAGAUAAUCAUUUCUUGAGUUACUUACAAGAACAGAAUUCUAAGUUUGCUCAACUAUAUUUUCUCUCUUCGCGAAUUUACGUGAUAACAACAUAUUGCGCCAUCUAGAUAAUACAAGUCCUAAUAGAAAUAAUAAUUGAGAAUAAAAACAACAGGCAAAAAAUGGUCGACAACUCCACAAUGGACAUAAGUGUUGCUUGAAUAUUAGCCAUAUAGAGAGGAAUUACAUAAUAGAGCUCGGGCUCCCUGGAACCUAUUUUUGGAAAAAAUCAGAAACGAACUUUUAAAAUUUAUAAAAAAUCUGAAAAAAUUUAUAUAUGUAAAUAAGGAUGUAUAUCACAUGUCUAUAAUUUUUAUUAUGAAAUAUGUACCAUUGAGCUAAACAAACAAUGGCUUCCUAACACAUGUAUUAUUCACUAUCAAGGUUCAAUGGUUUCUUUGGUUUUUGGACCACAUCGAAAUGUAUUCCAUCAUGAAUAUUUACAUAGAUGAAGCAUACAUCACUAUAUACAUCAAUACAUGUGCAAUUUAGUCACAAAUUUCUGAAACUAUAAAAUUUGUUUUCUAUAUGUAUUUUUCAAAAUUUUGAGCUCCAUGGAGCUCGGGAUCCAAAAAUCCACUCCCAUAUAGAAAGGCUAAGAAAACCUAUUAACUUUAUGUUGGUGAGCAACACAGAAUUAAUACAACCACUUUGGUGUAGCUAAGAAUUGAAUUUAGAGGUAAGAAUGCCACAUGUGCAGAUUUAAAAAAUUGUCGAAACAAUAUUUGGCGAUGCAAUGUGUGUGUUACGAGAAGUACAUAUUUUAAUCUUGGAUUCGUACUUUAAGAAAAGACAUGCCUUCUUUCUUAACCCAUCAAUUCUAAAAGUGUGUGACCUUUUGAGCUUAUUCGUGUGUUGGAAGUUGUGGUUAGUGUAAGAGAGAGUAUGUAAGAUGGUUUAUUGUUGCAAAAUUGUUAUUUAUGAUUUUAAAUGAUUAAUGUCAACCUGAGAACCUAUGUUUGGAAAAUAAUUAUGAUCUUAGUGGGUGUGUGACAUAUCUUGCGCUAAUAAUUUCUUCUCGGUUUCCAUUACUUGGGAUGGAUUUGAAUGAUUUGGGUCCGCUUGAAUAGCACACAAAGAUGUGUUACUUUCACCAAACAUUUCACACCUUUCUAUGAAAAUGCCAUUGGCAAAUGGACCUAGUUAAGCCCAUACAAUAAGGAAUCAACUAUGAAACCCCCAACAUUACAUAGAAACAUAAUAAUUGUUCAUAUCUUCGCAAAUAUCAAAUUUGAAUAAAGAUAUGUCCAAUUAUAAAUCACAUUAAAUAUGGACCUGACUGUGCCCUUAAUGAUGUUCCAGUUUCUAACACAUGCCCAUUUGUAUAUGAGGUGUCCAUCUAUCCUUUAAAACCAGAACUGAUAUCUCCCUCAUGAUUCUCUUCCCUUCCAUUGAAAGUGUGUCAAAGAGGGUUAGGUCUAAUAGGAUUAGGUCGGAUGUGCGGGAUAUAGGAUACGAAGCAAUUGCAUUGUUGCUAGAGUUUUCGAGGAACAUGGCUUGAUGACUACGUAUCUCUUCUCCAACAUAGAUGAUCUGACAUACGAGGAGAUGAACGAGUAUUCCCAACAACUGAUGUGGCUCAAGAAAGAAAUUGACUACCGCAAGUCUUUGAAGCCUACUAGCCCAGGUGUGCCAUCCCGCCAACAACCAUCAUUGUUCGAUAAAAAUAGAGUGGAAACUUUUUGGUUUUAAGACAAAAAAGUGGAAUGGAUAGGCAAUAUGAAAUUGUUAGCAAAAAAUUGUACAACGAGAAUGGAAAGGAAGUUUUCAACGGGCAAACAGAAACAAAAUAGAAUGAUGAUUUCCUAUAAAAAACAUAGAAAUUGAACUUUCCAUUUCCACUAUGGACCUAUGGCUUCUUUNNNNNNNNNNNNNNNNNNNNNNNNNNNNNNNAUUAGCCAAGUGUGGUUUAACUUCUACUACUAAGCGAGGAAGUUAGCCAUGAUUGUAACCAUAAUGGAGGCGAGGCCUAAAUUUCCCUUAACAGAUUAUUUGUGAGCUUAAAGUUUGUUGUACUUGUAAGAGGUCGACCAGAUACACUAUGUUGAUCUACUUACAUAGGGAGCUUAUCCUUCUAAUUACCACAAAUAUGCUUUUGUUUUGUCAAAUUUGAAAAACUCUACGCAAAUGUGAAUCCUAUGAUAUAUCCAUCAUAGUAACUUGUACUUAGGUUAACCAUUAACUAAGAGUUUUGGUUUGCUUGUAUUUUCAAUAUGGUUCAACGGAGUUUUAAGUUCCAGUCAACAACAUAUUCACUCCAUGUCCAAUUCUGAU